GCCCCGUUAGCUCAGUGGUAGAGCGUGUCACUCGUAAUGACAAGGUCCAUGGUUCAAUCCCGUGUCGGGGCU